GUUUUAUCACAUGAACCUUCGAUGACGAUGACGAUGUGAUGAUGACGUAUGAAGGCCCGAGCGAGACGAAGAAGUAAGUUGCCUGAUUUCUUUCCAGAAUAAGCGAAGGACUUCAGGCUAAGCUGGGAGUGAGAUUGGACUGGUGCUGAUGGGGGAGAGUUUCAAAUGAUGUAAAUUAAAUUACUAUUUUGCCUCUAUGAUAAUAGAGUCUUGAUGUUUGAAUUACUUAGUUUCUUUUGAGAUCAAGCAAUACACUCACGGUUAUGUGUCUUCAUACAUAUAAUCGGUUCGCCUUUUGCUGCGAUACUCUGCAAAUUAUGCUUCCUUAUGAAAAAUGAACUAUACGCGUUUUGUUUU